CAGUAGCCACGGUAAUACGUAGGGUGCGAGCGUUGUCCGGAAUUAUUGGGCGUAAAGGGCUCGCAGGCGGUUUCUUAAGUCUGAUGUGAAAGCCCCCGGCUCAACCGGGGAGGGUCAUUGGAAACUGGGAAACUUGAGUGCAGAAGAGGAGAGUGGAAUUCCACGUGUAGCGGUGAAAUGCGUAGAGAUGUGGAGGAACACCAGUGGCGAAGGCGACUCUCUGGUCCGUAACUGACGCUGAGGAGCGAAAGCGUGGGGAGCGAACAGGAUUAGAUACCCCAGUAGUCCCUGUCUCUUAUAC
rnacentral:rRNA from 1 species